rnacentral:rRNA from 1 species
GGCAGACGGGUGAGUAACGCGUGGGAACGUGCCUAUCGGUUCGGAAUAACCCAGGGAAACUUGGGCUAAUGCCGGAUACGCCCUUCGGGGGAAAGAUUUAUCGCCGAUAGAUCGGCCCGCGUCGGAUUAGCUUGUUGGUGGGGUAAAAGCCUACCAAGGCGACGAUCCGUAGCUGGUCUGAGAGGAUGAUCAGCCACACUGGGACUGAGACACGGCCCAGACUCAUACGGGAGGCAGCAGUGGGGAAUAAUGGACAAUGGGCGAAAGCCUGAUCCAGCCAUGCCGCGUGGGUGAAGAAGGCCCUAGGGUUGUAAACCCCUUUCAGCGGGGAAGAUAAUGACGGUACCCGCCGAAGAAGCCCCGGCUAACUCCGUGCCAGCAGCCGCGGUAAUUCGGAGGGGGCUAGCGUUGUUCGGAAUUACUGGGCGUAAAGCGCGCGUAGGCGCACUUUCAAGUCACGGGUGAAAUCCCGAGGCUCGACCUCGGAACUGCCUUUGAUACUGUAAGUCUUGAGUCCGAGAGAGGUAAGUGGAAUUCCUAGUGUAGAGGUGAAAUUCGUAGAUAUUAGGAAGAACACCAGUGGCGAAGGCGGCUCA